AAUAAGCGGAGGAAAAGAAACUAACAAGGAUUCCCCUAGUAACUGCGAGUGAAGCGGGAAAAGCUCAAAUUUAAAAUCUGACAGUCAUCUGGCUGUCCGAGUUGUAAUCUAGAGAAGUGCUAUCCGCGCUGGACCGUGUACAAGUCUCCUGGAAUGGAGCAUCAUAGAGGGUGAGAAUCCCGUCUUUGACAUGGACUGCCAGGGCUUUUGUGAUGCGCUCUCAAAGAGUCGAGUUGUUUGGGAAUGCAGCUCAAAAUGGGUGGUAAAUUCCAUCUAAAGCUAAAUAUUGGCGAGAGACCGAUAGCGAACAAGUACCGUGAGGGAAAGAUGAAAAGAACUUUGGAAAGAGAGUUAAACAGUACGUGAAAUUGCUGAAAGGGAAACGCUUGAAGUCAGUCGCGUCGUCCAGGGAUCAACCUCGCUUUUGCUUGGUGCACUUUCUGGUUUGACGGGUCAGCAUCAAUUUUGACUAUUGGAAAAAGGUCAAGGGAAUGUGGCAUCCUUGGAUGUGUUUAUAGCCCUUGGUCGCAUACAAUGGUUUGGGAUUGAGGAACUCAGCACGCCGCAAGGCCGGGUGUUUACACCACGUACGUGCUUAGGAUGCUGACAUAUAAUGGCUUUAAUCGACCCGUCUUGAAACACGGACCAAGGAGUCUAACAUGCCUGCGAGUGUUUGGGUGGAAAACCCGAGCGCGUAAUGAAAGUGAAAAGUUGAGAUCCCUGUCGUGGGGAGCAUCGACGCCCGGACCAGACCUUUUGUGACGGUUCCGCGGUGGAGCAUGUAUGUUGGGACCCGAAAGAUGGUGAACUAUGCCUGAAUAGGGUGAAUCCAGAGGAAACUCUGGUGGAGGCUCGUAGCGAUUCUGACGUGCAAAUCGAUCGUCAAAUUUGGGUAUAGGGGCGAAAGACUAAUCGAACCAUCUAGUAGCUGGUUCCUGCCGAAGUUUCCCUCAGGAA
rnacentral:rRNA from 1 species